rnacentral:rRNA from 1 species
UCCGUAGGGUGCAAGCGUUAAUCGGAAUUACUGGGCGUAAAGCGUGCGCAGGCGGUUCUAUAAGUCAGUUGUGAAAUCCCCGGGCUCAACCUGGGAACUGCCUCUGUGACUGUAUAGCUAGAGUACGGUAGAGGGGGAUGGAAUUCCGCGUGUAGCAGUGAAAUGCGUAGAUAUGCGGAGGAACACCGAUGGCGAAGGCAGUCCCCUGGACCGGUACUGACGCUCAUGCACGAAAGCGUGGGGAGCAAACAGG